GGAAGAAAAGCCCACUAGAAUUCUGGAAGAGGUUCUUCCCAAACAUGUGCGGAGCAGGGGAUCCAGAUGGCAUGGAGGUGGACGGUGGUAGACACGGAGAAGUGCUGCCCAAAUCCUCCUUCAAGAAAGGACUUGAUGACCAGCAGCAAGGAGUGCAUUCAGCAGACCCCCUCCAGCUGUUAGUUAAGUCCUUCAGGGUCUGUCUCAGCUGCCUCCCCCAAAGUCACAGCCUUCUAGAGCACCCUGCGUCUUGUGUGUGAACAACACAGGCCAUUGCAGCCCAGAGCAGGACAUGCUCAUGAGCAAUAUUUGCUCCAGAGCUCCUCGGGUGAACUGAGAGAGCUGAUGAAGGUGCCACCAUCUGGAACACGGCCAGCUGUGCCAGAGUGAAAGAGAGCAUCCCAAACCAGGAAGUAAAUCCUCCAGCCCAGAAGUGACACACAAUACUUCCACUUCCAACUCAUUCGUCAGACCUAGUUAUGUAGCUCCAUGCGAUGACAAAGAGGAUGGAAAAUCCUACAGUAAGCACAAGGGAAGAAGCUGGAAAUACUGUGAGAACAGCGUAAAUGCUAUCACAAAGAGUACUUAAGAUACGCAAAAAGCAUGCUGGGAAAUAUCAACUGGCUUCAAAGAGUCUCCCUGCAUUUUCACCACUCUCAGUAAAGGGAAAGACUUGCGAUUUCAUCCACCCAUGACCCAGUCUGUUUUCAGUUGCAUAUUCUGCAUGAUUUCAAGAAAGUGAUGAAACUUCUUCUAACAGAUCAACAUUACACUUCAAGCAAAGAUAUAUAUUGAAGCUAAGUUGGUGUUUUACAUUUUCUUGAACAAUUUAGAAGAAAUUGAUUUUUACCAAGAAAAGUACUGGAUAAUGUAAAUCCCUAUUUUUCCUUGGUUACGAAUCUGCUUCUGUCACUCAUCGGUCAUUUCUGUUCCUAACUGGGCUGCGUCAGUAGAUUCUAUGGUAAAUCAGCUACUUAACAACGGUCAUUCAUACACUGUUUUAGCUCCACACUUGCCUAUCGACUAGAACCAGCUCCGGGAUGGACAGAUCACAGUGGUACCUCCCCCACUGAGCGGAGGGCUUGUUCUCCGAGCCGGUCUCGUGGGAGGCCGCUCGCGCCACCCUGUGGCCACCUGUGCACAUUGCGACCUUAGCUCGGCCCGGACGCCGCAGCCGCCAGUGCGCCGGGACCCAGCUGCGCAGAAGCUGACGGGCACACGCUUUGUGCAACCUAUCCCCAAAACUGUGAGAAAUUUUUGCUUCCCCAGAGCCGGCAGG
rnacentral:lncRNA from 1 species